AUUGCCUUAGUAACGGCGAGUGAAGCGGCAACAGCUCAAAUUUGAAAUCUGGCUCCUUCGGGGCCCGAGUUGUAAUUUGUAGAGGGUGCUUUGGUGUUGACUGUGGUCUAAGUUCCUUGGAACAGGACGUCACAGAGGGUGAGAAUCCCGUACGUGGCCGCCAGUCAACGCCGUGUAAAGCCCCUUCGACGAGUCGAGUUGUUUGGGAAUGCAGCUCUAAAUGGGAGGUAAAUUUCUUCUAAAGCUAAAUAUUGGCCAGAGACCGAUAGCGCACAAGUAGAGUGAUCGAAAGAUGAAAAGUACUUUGGAAAGAGAGUCAAAAAGCACGUGAAAUUGUUGAAAGGGAAGCGCUUGCAGCCAGACUUGCCUGUAGCUGCUCAGCCGGUGCUUAAUUGCCCGGUGUACUCUUCUAUGGGCAGGCCAGCAUCAGUCCGGGCGGUUGGAUAAAAGCCUGUGUAAUGUACCUCUCCUCGGGGAGGACUUAUAGACCAGGUGGCAUACAACCAGCCUGGAUUGAGGUCCGCGCAUCUGCUAGGAUGCUGGCGUAAUGGCUGUAAGCGGCCCGUCUUGAAACACGGACCAAGGAGUCUAACAUCUAUGCGAGUGUUUGGGUGUAAAGCCCGAGCGCGUAAUGAAAGUGAACGGAGGUGGG
rnacentral:rRNA from 1 species